rnacentral:rRNA from 1 species
GCUGGCGGCACGCCUAAUACAUGCAAGUCGAACGGGGUAGCAAUACCUAGUGGCAGACGGGUGAGUAACAUGUGGGUACCUUCCCUUUGGUGAGGAAUAACACGAGGAAACUUGUGCUAAUACCUCAUAAGUCUUUACGGAGAAAGCUUUAUGCGCCAAUGGAUGGGCCCGCACUUGAUUAGUUAGUUGGCAGGGUAAUGGCCUACCAAGACUUUGAUCAAUAGCUGAUUUGAGAGGAUGAUCAGCCACAUUGGGACUGAGACACGGCCCAAACUCCUACGGGAGGCAGCAGUAGGGAAUCUUGCACAAUGGAGGAAACUCUGAUGCAGCGAUGCCGCGUGAGUGAAGAAGGCCCUUGGGUUGUAAAGCUCUUUCGUCGGGGAAGAAAAUGACUGUACCCGAAUAAGAAGGUCCGGCUAACUUCGUGCCAGCAGCCGCGGUAAUACGAAGGGACCUAGCGUAGUUCGGAAUUACUGGGCUUAAAGAGUUCGUAGGUGGUUAAAAAAGUUGGUGGUGAAAUCCCAGAGCUUAACUCUGGAACUGCCAUCAAAACUUUUUAGCUAGAGUUUGAUAGAGGAAAGCAGAAUUUCUAGUGUAGAGGUGAAAUUCGUAGAUAUUAGAAAGAAUACCAAUUGCGAAGGCAGCUUUCUGGAUCAAUACUGACACUGAGGAACGAAAGCAUGGGUAGCGAAGAGGAUUAGAUACCCUCGUAGUCCAUGCCGUAAACGAUGUGUGUUAGAUGUUGGAAAUUUAUUUUCAGUAUCGCAGCGAAAGCGUUAAACACACCGCCUGGGGAGUACGACCGC